GGCUCCGUUGGUCAAGCGGUUAAGACACCGCCCUUUCACGGCGGUAACACGGGUUCGAAUCCCGUACGGGUCA
rnacentral:tRNA from 2 species